rnacentral:rRNA from 1 species
GACGAACGCUGGCGGCGUGCCUAAUACAUGCAAGUCGAACGCAGUGGGGACGGGUGAGUACCACGUGGGUAACCUCCCAUCAGAGGGGAUAACACUUGGAAACAGGUGCUAAACCGAUACUGAUGGAUGGCCCCGCGGUGCAUUAGCUAGUUGGUGAGGUAACGGCUCACCAAGGCCACGAUGCAUAGCCGAACUGAGAGGUGGAUAGGCCAAACUGGGACUGAGACACGGCCCAGGAUCCAACUGGAGGCAGCAGUAGGGAAGCGUCGGCAAUGGACGAAAGUCUGACCGAGCAACGCCGCGUGAGUGAAGAAGUUUUUCAGAUCGUAAAACUCUGUUGUUAGAGAAGCGGUAUCUAACCAGAGAGCCACAGCUAACUACGUGCCAGCAGCCGCAGUAAUUC